rnacentral:rRNA from 1 species
UACGUAGGGUGCGAGCGUUGUCCGGAAUCAUUGGGCGUAAAGCGCGCGUAGGCGGCUCGGAAAGUCGGGCGUGAAAUGCCGGGGCUCAACCCCGGGACUGCGUCCGAUACUUCCGAGCUGGAGGUAGGUAGGGGAGAUCGGAAUUCCUGGUGUAGCGGUGAAAUGCGUAAGUAUACUGGAGGAACACCGGUGGCGAAGGCGGCAUCCUGGACCGGCAUUGACGCUGAGGCGCGAAAGCUAGGGGAGCAAACGGG